CAGCCGCCGCGGGAAUACGGAGGAUCCAAGCGUUAUCCGGAAUCAUUGGGUUUAAAGGGUCCGUAGGCGGUCUUGUAAGUCAGUGGUGAAAGCCCAUCGCUCAACGGUGGAACGGCCAUUGAUACUGCAGGACUUGAAUUAUUGGGAAGUAACUAGAAUAUGUAAUGUAGCGGUGAAAUGCUUAGAGAUUACAUGGAAUACCAAUUGCGAAGGCAGGUUACUACCAAUUGAUUGACGCUGAUGGACGAAAGCGUGGGUAGCGAACAGGAUUAGAUACCCCUGUAGUCCCUGUCUCUUAUAC
rnacentral:rRNA from 1 species